CUAUGCGCACUUUGACAGGUCAUUGUAGUUUCCUCAUGUCUAAAUUACCAUGCGCAUGAUGUUUUCACACUGCACAAUUCGUGUUCUUGCAAUUACUAUGCGCAUGAUAAUUUUGACACAUCGUCCUAAGUGUGGUCGGAAAUACUAAACACAUGGUAAUUUCAUCAUUGUUUUUCUUAAAACUCGCAUCCGCAUAGUAAUUUCGAUAAUCAUGUUCAUUUUAUGCUCUGAUCUAGUAAUUCUACUAUGCGGUUGCGUUUGAGUGUUUGGUUUAGUUGUCGUCAGUCGGUUGAAAUUCCGGUACCUGAAUGAAAAAAAAAGUUUCCCCUGGGUACGUUGAAUCGAUGAAUUGCUGGCGCGAAUAAAUUGAAGUGCGCUGAUCGAUUUCCGGUGUUCACCUGGGGCACCUGACAACACUGAUGCCGGACAGGGCCUCAACGAGGCAUUGAACCGACGCACCCGGAACCGAACAGCAGAUCAGUCAGGUCGAGAAAUACGUUUUUUCAGUGUUUAGUUGCGAAUGCUGUUCUUGAGUUCCCGAACCGUGGGGACCUCCCUGAGAGGCCAACGCCGGAGGAUUUCAGGAACGAAGGUGCUGAACUGGCGAACUGUUAGCGCAGCAGUAUCUUUACAUCUACCGGGCCGAGGAAUGCAGUCUUUCGACGCUAAGCGUUAAUUAUCUGUGAAGCGGUUAUUAUGAAAAUUUACUUUUUUACGUGUUCUCCGACCGUGGAUGUUGCGUCGGUGAAUUAAGUGAAAAUAAGCUAUUGAAUAAAUAAAAAUUUAAAUGGAAAUAAAAUGAAUAUUA